AAUAAACGCAAUUCAUCUUUUGUGCUUAAUAACUUUUGAAAUACUAUUUCUAUAGAAAUAGUAUUUCGAAAGUUAUUAAGCACAAAAGAUGAAUUGCGUUUAUU